UAGCAUUCUAAAAUUAAACUACCCUCUG
rnacentral:tRNA from 1 species